CAGCCACACACCCCACGACGCUCCUUCGUCUCUCUAACUCUCGUGCAUGACCUACCCUCGCCAGCCCUAGGUGUGCUGCCGCCACCAUGUCUUCAUCUCGCAGCCCCUCAAGCGCCCUGUAGGAGCGGCAUCUCCGUCUACGCCUACUCGCCGCUGUCCUCUUUCUCCGAUAUUCCCUAAAGGUGAAGCAGGGUGCAUCUUUUUCUUGAAUCGGCCAUGAGCUCCAUCCCCAAAUCAGUGGCGCACUACAUCCCUGAAGCAUGUGUCCGAGUUUUCAAGCCAUAUCUGGAGUUCUUGGGCGAGCUGUCGCCAGAUCAACCAUGUCGAGCAACCAGCCGGAGGUAUAUACAGAUAUCUGACCAGUUUCAAUUGGGGGCCUCUCGGUUGGGAGGGGCUCAGGGCGUGCAUCACUUUGAGGGUCUGGAAUGACUGUAAAGAUAGGUUCCUUCAAGUGCAACUCCCAAUUUAUUCUACAUCUGACUUUUUUUUCUUAUGGAUCCUUUGUAUUAGAUGUCAACAGAAGGUGAUCAGUAUAUUAGAGACUUCAAGAAAUUUGAACCGGAUCUCACAACCUCAUAUCUCUCUCUGUCUCUCUCGGUUGGUUAACAAGUUGCCCUGGUAUUGAUGUUUAUUAAGUUUCUCCCAAUUUUUUUCUUUUGUUUCUCUACAUGUUAGGCCAACGAAGGUUUACAAGUAGGUACAAAUCUUCAGAGACUCAUCUUCUUGGUAGGCAAAGAAUAAAUUUAAGUUGGUAUUUCUUAGUUAAUUAAACACCAGGUCCGGAGGUUUGAAACAGAUUCAGAGCACUGAGUUAUGGUGGAGCUGAUGUGUUCUUUCUAUACGUAUUCCCUGGGAGAUUAUCACUUAAUCUGUAAAAUUUGAUGGUGCCCGCUGGGAGUUCAUGCAGAUUUGCUUCCUCAUGUGUACUUAUAAGUUAUCUGUUCACAAAUGUUCAACUGCUGCAGUUGAUGCUUGGUUAUUGCAGUACAUAUGUUAACUCUAAACUGGACAAUUGAUUCAGUAAAACUACUUUUUGUUUGAUUGUAUCUUCAGCAACGGUACUCUUAUUUCAUGACGCUAUACUGAACCACUGGUUUGUUCCUCGAGCUGUACUAUAGACUCUUAAUUGUGAUUUUUUGAAGCAAAUUUCAUGUCUGCUACUUAUCAUAAAUUUAGAUAAUCGUAGGCUUUUCAGAAGCUUUUGACCCUACAAAGAAGGCUCUUAAGAAGAUGUACUACAUGAAUAUGCGGAUAUUACAUGUAUGUUUUUCUUUCUUUAAAUUUCCGAUGCUUAUGAAUCAUCCAUGUAAGUAGUUAGCAUGUAUGGAAGACAAUAUAUGUUUUGAUCCGUCGAGAGGUGCUUUUCCCUCCCAUUUCAUUUCGGCUUCGCCUCCAAAAUAUUUCAUUGCUUCUUGCACAUCUUGGCUACUUGAUUUCUGUAACUUUUUGCAGUUUCAUUUCAUAUUUUCAUGUAAGAUGUGUGCUUCAUUAAGUUCUUUAUUUUUUGGCUUCAUUACAUUGUAAUCUCAUGUUUUUUGGCCAUUAAAAUAGUAGCCACCUUUUACAAUGGAACUAGACACACCUUGCUCAUUUUACAAAUGAUUUUACCUGAUAUAAUGUAGUACACAUUUUUGCAGGAACUAUUGUAAGACAUAGCAGAAGAAUAUAAGUCAAUGUAAGAUGCCAUGAGAAACCAAGAGAGGGAAUUAAAAACAUGUGAUAAACAUAAGAAAAAGAGGACGCAAAGCAGUGGUCUCUAAAAGCACCAUUGCAUAGAUAGGAUGAUGUUUACCUACAACCACCGUAUUCUGUGUAUAUGUGAAUUUCAAUCUCUUCCAACUUACAAGGGGGUCAAGGUAAGAAUAUGAGGGUGUAUAAACAUGAUAACAGGAUAAUAUGCCAUGGUGGACCACACUAGCUUAUCGAAGUGCUCUGAGAUAUUAGCGCAUGCCUGAGCUUUGCCUCGUAUGAAGUCCAUCACAAUUGAACAUAGUUCAGUUUUUUUAACUUACAGGCUUACGGCUACUAACUUUAUCUUAUCUGCUCCAUUUUCUGGCAAACUAGGUUCAGAAAGGCAUGAUGUUCUCCGUUGUGUAUUCUGUGGUGGAUGGAGUAGCACGACUUCGAUUUCUUUGCAUGCCAAAGAAAAAAAGAACUGCACAUUUUCAAAACUUGAGACAUGGAGCUUGCGGAAGACUUUUCAAUUUGUAUUCAACCCAUGACACAGUAUCAGCAUGGACAUUUUAGCAACAAGUAUUUCUCUUAAAUAUACUCCUUUGUUGGUUUGCAGUUAUAAUGUGGAGGGUAUUUUCCUCUGAUGCAACCAUACACUGUUAACACAUGUAUAUCAUGUGCCAAUUGUGAUUAUUUAUCCAUUAAUUUAUUUACUGGCUGCAUCCAUGUUUUCCAUAUCUUUUGUUAACAUAGUUUACUACUCCCUCCAUUCCAUAUCAAGUGUCGCUGAUUUAGUAUGGAGGGAGUACUUUGCAAGAAUAAAGUAAGACGGAGUACAUUAGUUUGAGAUCAACCUAAUGUGAUUAUGGUACUGUUAUAAUGUGACAACCUUAGCGCAACUGCCUAAUACAUUAGCAUAAGAUAUCCUUUUCUGAUUACUAAAUGAUACAACAUAUCUUUAUGUAAUUGAAUUUCUUUGUUUCAUUUAUCUUAUAUCUGUGAGAAUACUAUCAGUUGUCACAACUGCCUGAUACAAUAGCAUAAGAUGAUAUACUUUAUGUAAUUGAAUUUCUAUGUUUCAUUUCUCUUAUAUUUACGAGAAUCCCAAUUAUUCCAACGAAAAAAUAGAUGGGCGCAGCAACGCGCGCCAUCGAUGAUCUAGUUUAGAAACAUUAAAACUAAGCAUGCUAGGAAGCCUCUCACGCCAUCAACAAUUUGGGUCGUCAGAUCGCGCCUCCGAGUCAUUUUUGGUCGUCCGAUGCACCUCCUCCUCCCGCAUGGGCCGCUACUCUAGAAACAAAUUUAAAGGCCUCUCGUUUGAUCCCAGACUAACGGUCCUGAUGAGGCCAAGUAUCCACCGCACCCGUCCCUUCAGAUCUCUCGACCUAGAGUGAAACCUAUGCGCCGCCGCAGAGAGAGGGUGACUAAUGGCGAUGGCGGCGAGGCGCCGUGACCCAAAGGAGGAAGGAAGCUGCCUGUUUCUGGAUGGACGAAGAGGAAACCAUCGCAUGGUCAUUCCCCUCCCCGACCCUUCAUUCUCUACCUCGCGGCAGGUGAACACGCUUGUCGCUGCCUCUGCCAUCUCUGCCACCCAUCCUCAUCCCGAUCCUUGUGUACCUAGGAGAUCAGGCUUCCCUCCCCGAGCUCGCCUCCUGCGGCUCCUCUCCACUUUGCGGCGACUAUUCCAUGCGCCGCCGCGACACCAGCCGCCUCCCAGUCGUCGGUGCCGCGAACCAGGACCGCCGUCCGGCUAUGAGAAUUUCCUCGACACCCAUCCGCCAGUUCGUCAGCCUGACCCUGCCCAUCUUCUCGCUCGUUCGCCAGUCUACAUGUUACCUCUCAGUUCGUGGGAUCUCCGGAUAUUCUCUACAGCUUUUGGAAGCAGGAACCUGGCACCGGAUUUACAUAGCAUGGAAGAUUUAUCAUUUUUUUAGAGAGAAGGAAGAUUUAUCAUUUCUGCCUACGUCUCCUUUAUUAUUUUUUCAUUCACGUUGUUUAAGCGUUGAGUUGACAGAUUAAUUAAUGGAAUAUGCAGGUUGGCUUUGUUCAUUGUUUAUUCUGAUGCUCGAUAGAGGUAGUUUGAGGUGUACGAAGAUGUGGACAUAUUGCAGAAACUUUGGCUUUGAUGUGUACCGUGCGGACAGAGAAUGGGCAGCCCGGUGCAUGUAGCUCCCGCUUGCGCAGGGUCGGAGAAGGGUCCGACCACUUUGGGUCUAUAGUACGCAGCCUUUCCCUACAUUUCUGUAAGAGGCUGUUUCCAGGACUUGAACCCGUGACCUCAUGGUCACAAGGCAGCAGCUUUACCACUGCGCCAAGGCUCCCCUUCCAUUAAAAACAUGUCAGUUCAGCUCAAUUCAGAGUGUUAGUGUUUGGAGAUUCUACAUAUGUAGUAACCUUUUUCAAGCUAGAGUGGCGGGCUUUCAAAACUACUGGAGUUCUGUACACUUUAUGGGUUCUUGAGGUGUCAAGUAGAUGUGUGUAUGAUUGGUAGCUAAUUCUGUAUGUGGGGGUAAUUCUUAUGCAGUCAUGUACCUUCCGUUGAAAUACCACACAACUCCUUUGCCUAUUAGAAUUAUAGAUACCACAAAGCAACCGUUAUGGCAAUUUGUCAAAUGUAGAUGUUCCUUCUAGACUUUAGAUAGAUAUAUGUAUUUCUUGGAAGUAAGCACAUGGUAAAAAAAUAGGCUCAUAUUCAUGAAGGAAAGUGCCACUGACCCUCACAUGGUAGGCUGAGACCAAAAUAGUGUUUCGAUUCUCUUCUCUGUAUAAUUAAUUUGCAUUUCCCUAUGGUGACAUAGAAUCGCAUGCGCAUGCUUUAAGUUGUUCCUCAAUUUAUUUUUUGGUCAACUUCAGGAAAUUAAGGAGCUCAGGACCAUAUACAUUCAGUCUAUCUAUAUAUACAGCAGUAAAUAACCUCAGCCAUCAGGUAAAUUCUUGCCUUCAGGUUACCUAUGAUGUGAAUCAUUCAAGUAAGGAUAAGCUAGCUUAUUAUCCUAGAAACUGCUAUUAGAAGAUGCCAUAAUCUGAAUAGUUAGCCAUCUGUUAAAAGCACAUCCACUUAAAUUUAUUUCUUGCAUGUACUCCCUCCGUUCGGAAUUACUUGUUGCGAAAAUGGAUGUAUCUAGAACUAAAAUACGUCUAGAUACAUCCAUUUCUGCGACGAGUAAUUCCGAACGGAGGAAGUAUAAGUUUUGGAUUGCGCAACUGCGCUAUGCAUACCAGUUCUGCUUGUUUAUAUGUUACUAAAAUAUUGCAUACAUAUCUACCGACAUAUAUGUAAUACUCUAUCAAAAUGAGAAUGGAUGGGAUAUUCCUAUCUUUCAUAGGUCUGCAUACUAUAUAAGCAUCCGAAGGCCUUCUAGCUAGCACCCUCCUGCAAUCACCCCCCAUGAGUGUAGGUAUGCUACUCAUAUGUUUCUCUCAUUUUCCCCUAGAAUUCUCCAUAUAUUUUUCACCUCCGCUUCUGUUUUACCCUCCCUUCCAUGCCCCUUCAGCAGCUGCAGCCUUUACUUAUCUUCUUCAUCCAAUAUGUCUGCAAGGUCUGUUAUUUUCAGGAUAUGAUGCUUUAGAGUCUGUUUUGUAUGCAUGUCAAUGCAGAUAUUUGGAAUAGACAGGGCCACAAUCCAAUAUGGUUUUGAUGCGAUCAGAAAUCCCAAUAUAGGAAAUAUGACGCCUUUUCGUGUGUUGUAUUUUGAUGGGAAAUUUACAUAGUUGAACAUUAUGGUUUCAUACCAGCUAAUGACGAAAUGUGAACUAUUUUUUGUUUUUAUUGGUAAAAAAAUGUGGCAACUCGCUAACAAGGGAAAAUCAUUACUCCCUUUUAUAUUUAUAAUAAUUCCGAUCUAUCUGAGGCUACUUGUGAAUUACUAAAUUAGUGUUGUUUUUGUUCAAUUUCUAUAAUGCGGGUAUAGUUGAAUGACCCAUGGGGAUCAAUCUGUUCAUAAUUAUAGUGAUUAGAUAAAUACCAUCCAUUUUGAUGUUUGUCAUGUACAUAUCUAACUUUUUUCAAAAAAUAUAAAGUGGCCGCAUGCAUCGCCCAGAUGCAGAGGCCGGCGGUGAUCCUCCUUUUCUAAAAAAAAUGUGUAACUUUUUUCUUCUAGAGAAAUCCAUCUUAAACACACAUUUAGUUUACAACAGAUAUCUCUGGCUGUUGGGAGUGUGUUCGUACGUUUUCUUAAUCUGAACAAUCUAUGAGAGAGGAUCGCAUGCCUAUUAUUGCUUUUAUUUUGUAUGCUUUUGGAGUUUAGCUCGAUGUACUUCCAGGUAUCUCCACGAAAUAAAGAAACCACAUUUGGGGAAAAUUUUGUUCGGGGUCAAUGAAAGCAACCAACUCCAAAUAUUGGUGAAAAACAUUUUCUGUUUGAUAGUGGAUUAUAUUUUUGUGCUUAACUCAUCAAUAGAGGUGCUUUGCCAUUAUUGUUGGUCAGAAAAUGAAGUUAAUGUUCUUAUUUCGAUAGGUAAAAUCACUAUUUGGUAUUACCCUUUCACUUUGGAUUUUUGGUGCUUGAUAUAUUUACAGAAAUUAAUAUCAUUCGAAACUGAUGGAUGUUCCAACACAUGUCAUCAUGGCUUCAUUUAUGAGCUUAUGAGUAAAGUUAUGGCCAAAUGCCUAAAUAUAUUUAUGAAAAUUCUUAUCAUUAUAUCGUCAAAAUGGACAGGCGCGGCAAUGCGCGCCAUCAAUGAUCUAGUAUCUACUUAUUGAGAGGCGCUACCCACACCCAGCACACCGCCUCCCAAAAAACCUAGGUACUCUUCUUCCUCCUCACUCUCACCCACCUCACGUCAGCUCGCUCCACUCGUACCCCCAAAUUCCUUACCUCAUUCCUACAGAAAACCCUAGCUCCCCUUCUUCUUCACUCGCACUAGAACUAGGCUCGUCAUUCGUUACUCUGCUCAAAUCCAUGAGCGCGAUGCGAUGCCUUCGAGGAAAAUGGAGUCUGCUGACCCCAACGCCAAGAAGAUGAGGCUCCCACCAGGUGACGCCUGUUGUAGAUCCCCCACCCGGCAGCGCGGGGAGAAGCGGCGACCCCUCCCCCACCGGAUCCCAGGAACCCGUAGAAUCUCGGGUGGACCGCAUCAGCGAUCUCCCGGACACUGUUCUUGGGGAGAUCAUCUCGCUUCUCCCCACCAAGGAUUGCUUCCGCACCAAAGUCCUCUCGAUUUGGUGGCGCCCUCUAUGGCGCGGUGCCCCUUAAUCUCGACUAUCGUCAGCUAUCUCUCUUCAAUAAUUUUGAAAUUCCUAGAGCCAUCAUCUCCUCCCACCAGGGCUCCAUUCAAAGCCUC